CCCACACCCAUGUGUGUAGGACCUCAAAGGUUCACCAUUAAAUUUGGCACAGAUCUCUAGAAAAGUUAUCACAUGGGUGUGGGACUUGACUUUUCUAGAUAUCUGUGCCAAAUUUAGUGGUGAUCCUUUGGGGUCCUACACACAUGGGUGUGGA
ncrna:Amborella trichopoda miR8565a stem-loop (atr-MIR8565a)